ensembl:snRNA U5 U5 spliceosomal RNA
AUAUUGUGGUUUUUCUUCAGCUCGUAUAGAAUUUUCGCCUUUUACUGAAGAUUUCCAUGGAGGGAAACAGUUUUGAGAGUUUAUUUUUUGAGGUUGCGUAUUUUAGUGGGGGUAC